GACGAACGCUGGCGGCGUGCUUAACACAUGCAAGUCGAGCGGUAAGGCCCUUUCGGGGGUACACGAGCGGCGAACGGGUGAGUAACACGUGGGUGACCUGCCCUCAGCUCUGGGAUAAGCCUGGGAAACCGGGUCUAAUACUGGAUAUGACUCCAUGACGCAUGUUGUGGGGUGGAAAGCCUUGUGCGGCUGAGGAUGGGCCCGCGGCCUAUCAGCUUGUUGGUGGGGUGANGGCCUACCAAGGCGACGACGGGUAGCCGGCCCGAGAGGGCGACCGGCCACACUGGGACUGAGACACGGCCCAGACUCCUACGGGAGGCAGCAGUGGGGAAUCUUGCGCAAUGGGCGAAAGCCUGACGCAGCGACGCCGCGUGAGGGAUGACGGCCUGG
rnacentral:rRNA from 1 species